CCUCUCUCUUUCUCUCUCUCCUCACCUUCCCACCCUCCAGGAUGUGCACCGUGACACCUGUCAGCCCCUGCUCUUCCUGCCCUUUCAGUGCCCAGGCAGUUUAAAUCCCUGCGGCAGGUUGGCUUUUCACUCCCGAGGGCCGGCGGAGGGCCUCGCCUCUAACAAAAGCAGUCAGCGCCUGCCCACCAGGAAUUUAGGGAACCAAGAGCAGGGUGUCAAAUGUCAAUCCCAGGAAAACGGGCAAAAAGUUAUCUGAGAGAGACCUAACAGGAAAAGAGGCCUUCUAGACCAGAGUGAAGAAUUUGAGAAAGGUGAUUACAAGGCCAGGACUUGGUCCUCCCGCGGCUGCUGCCCACUGUUGGUGGACGCGGGCCCCGGCCCCGCGCUCCCAGUUUAGUGCUGUUUAACUCGCCUCACGCGUCACGCAUCCGAAGAGAGCUCAGGCCUCAUUGGGAGCUGAGAUCUUAUCCAGCCAGAUCUCAGCGGAGAUAGUCACCGGCUUGUUUUUCCUCGGCAGGGCCAAGUAGGGACUGGGCUACACCGGCUGGAUCACUUGGGGAUCAGAGUCCAGUUUCAGAUUAAUCUCUGUGGAGUUCAUUCGCCACCGGAUUGUCUUACUGGAACUGAUUAUCCACCGGGCCGUGUCAUACAUGAUUUUCAAGUUUCCUGAGCUUUCAGAGAGAGAGGGAAGUAGCAACCUUGCAGGUGGUGUGACCUUCAGGGCACUCUUGCCGCCUUAUCUUGCAGGAAAUCCCUUCUCUUGGUAAAACUGAGGAUGACAAGUGAGCCCUCCCUGUGUCUUCCCAACGAAAAUAAAAGCUGCUCCUUACUGCG